CGACUUAUAUUCUGUAGCAAGGUUAACCGUAUAGGGGAGCCGCAGGGAAACCGAGUCUUAACUGGGCGUUAAGUUGCAGGGUAUAGACCCGAAACCCGGUGAUCUAGCCAUGGGCAGGUUGAAGGUUGGGUAACACUAACUGGAGGACCGAACCGACUAAUGUUGAAAAAUUAGCGGAUGACUUGUGGCUGGGGGUGAAAGGCCAAUCAAACCGGGAGAUAGCUGGUUCUCCCCGAAAGCUAUU
rnacentral:rRNA from 1 species